UCUCCAACAGCCAUAAUGAACAUGGAUACCAAACCAAACUGUAUACUAGAAGAAAUUUAUGAGCGAUCUAAGAAUAGCACAUGCCCAGUGGUUACCAAGACAAUACAACAAGCUCAGUGGAGUAAUAUGGGUACUCCCAACCUCUGACUAGUCAUCACGCCGAUUACGAUACACAUGUCCAUUAUUUGUGAUGGAAAUCGGAACGAACGAGUCACAUUUCUGAAACUCUCACCCCGAUGCAUCGCCCAAACGAAAAAUAUUACACUACUCCCCACUAGCAGUGGAGUGGAGACAGCGGUUACCAGCUACCUGAAGGCCCCAAUCACUCCCGUAGCACAACUGAUGAGGAGGACACGACGUAAGUUAACUAUGACACCACACACCCACAUUAACAUACAAGGAGAAGAGCUCCGUCCUAUACUCCUUGAAGAGGAGAGUCUGGAGGAAGAGUUAACACAUAUGCAUUGGCGAACGAUCCAAGAAUCACAUUGGCCUUAUUUAGCGGCCACCGGGAUCAUUACUACGAUAGUUGUAAUGGGACUACUCGCGUUAUGGAAAUACUGCCCUGUUACGCCAACAUGUCGCUCACGUAAACCACUUAACCAGAAACCCGAACACGAAGUAAACGCGUUCAAAACCGGGAAGAGGUUUCCCCGUCGACUUCCAAAGCCGACGUUCCACUCACCACAUUUUCAUCCAAUAGCCCCAAUUUUGACCUAAAAAUAGAGUCGGACAGUGAGGUCUAAGGUUACGGUUGGAGAAAUGUUAAUUUAUUCUUAAACUAUUUAUGUAUUAUUAUGUUAAGAUAUUUCUUAUGAUUAUGUUAUAAUUGUAAACAUUGCAGUACUGACACUUGGUUCAGAUUUGCCGUCGGGCAGUAUGUCCAAUACCAAAUAUUCAGAAUUAAUAUCCGAUAUUGAACAAUAUAAUUCGAUCAACCCGUAGAUCCCAUGAAAUAAUUUGUUUUUAUAUUUACACAUGUGUACUACUAAUUUCGAUAAUAAUUUGUCAGUUGUAAACAAUAUAAUUUGGAAAUGAUACAAAAGGUGCUGACGAAAGUAAAACUAUUUAUCUUUGUUAGAUACACAUAUCACGAGGUUCUAGUGUCAACGAUAAUCCAAAUUUAGCUUCUAUAAAACUACAAUAUCUCAGCUAGAGAAAGAGUCUUCAACUAAAUCGCGUACAAGCCAUAUCAGUACUCAAUGUUCUCCCGGGAUAACUACCCUAGUGUCUGCCGCUAUAAAUAAAUUCUCUAAGUGCUAUUGGUGUUUCAAUAAACUGAAGAACAUCCUCCACUGAGCCCCGAAGAUUAGACACUUGGAAACAACUACAGUUGAGGGAACAAAAAUAAUUUAUACACUGAAAAAAUGUCUGUUAAUAACAAAUAUGAAACAUUCAAUUCACUUCACUUGAGUAGAAAUAAAAACUUAAUGCACAAUACACAGAUAUAAAAUGGAUAUAAACCGCAUACACAACAAACAACGACACGUGUAUUAUGGGUUGUGAGCACACUCAAUUCAUUACAAAACAACGUUGCCAUAUUUUAUCUAGGAAAUCUAUUGCAUGUUUAGCUAAAAUCUACUAAAUCAAAAACUAAAAUAUACUAAAACUUUAUUAACUUAUUUGUAUAUAUUUUAGGUUUUUUUAUAAUCAAAACAACAGCUAACUUAACUAGAAAUUAUUAUAACGUGAAUGUAAAAAAACCAAACUUUUUUUACAUUUUAACAGGGAAACAAAAUGACCUAGUCAAAAUGCAUAGCACAAAAAAUGUUGAUAUGGAACACUACCAAAAA
rnacentral:lncRNA from 1 species